rnacentral:snRNA from 10 species
UUUCUUUCGCAGAGCAAAUAUAAAAGUCUGUGAAGUACAACUGAGAUGUUAUAAUUGUUGGUUGAAAAGUUAACCCAAUACCCCACC